rnacentral:rRNA from 1 species
UGACGAGUGGCGGACGGGUGAGUAAUGUCUGGGGAUCUGCCCGAUAGAGGGGGAUAACCACUGGAAACGGUGGCUAAUACCGCAUAACGUCGCAAGACCAAAGAGGGGGACCUUCGGGCCUCUCACUAUCGGAUGAACCCAGAUGGGAUUAGCUAGUAGGCGGGGUAAUGGCCCACCUAGGCGACGAUCCCUAGCUGGUCUGAGAGGAUGACCAGCCACACUGGAACUGAGACACGGUCCAGACUCCUACGGGAGGCAGCAGUGGGGAAUAUUGCACAAUGGGCGCAAGCCUGAUGCAGCCAUGCCGCGUGUAUGAAGAAGGCCUUCGGGUUGUAAAGUACUUUCAGCGGGGAGGAAGGCGAUGUGGUUAAUAACCGCGUCGAUUGACGUUACCCGCAGAAGAAGCACCGGCUAACUCCGUGCCAGCAGCCGCGGUAAUACGGAGGGUGCAAGCGUUAAUCGGAAUUACUGGGCGUAAAGCGCACGCAGGCGGUCUGUUAA